AAGCGUUCCUAACCCUAAUUCUAAUGAAACGAGGAGAUGGAGAUCGAUGGCGGUGACGCCUGAGCUUCUCCAUACGCCAUCUUCCAUCCAAACAUACACUUCAUUCUUAUUCAGACCCAGAAUCUGAAACUGAGGCUGCUUCUUAUUCUUCGAUUACUUGCCACUUUGAGGUCCUUUUGUAACUCAUGAUUUAAUUGAGUGUGCGGCAUGUCACGAAAGUGAAUGAGCAAGCAGUGGAGAGAGACAGAUCAAGCGAUGGAGAGCGACAGAUCAAGCGGCGGAGUGCGAUGGAUUGCUGGCGGCGGAACAAGCGGCGUUGAGCUGAUGGAGCAAGUCACGGAGAGAGCGAGAUGGAAAUCCUUGGAACAAACGACAAAGAGUGUGACGAGAGAUAGCAAAGAUAAUUGAUGCAGUUCAAACUGUCACAGGGAAGGUCAAUAGGCUCUCGGACAGGAUAGGUUCCUGCUUUCGAAGUUUCUGUAAAUGGAGGGGUGAAGGUUUCGGGAAUCAAACCAAAUUCGAGAGCAGAAUUUAAGAAAAUCUUAUAGGAGUUCAAAUUAUGGCUUAGUAGCCUCACAGAAGAUAAAAAGCAUGCUGCAACAGUUUUUUUGUACUAUAAAAUGACGAAGUAAACUCCUAUAAGAUGAUUCUCAAUCUGAUCAUCUCGCCAACAUCACAAAGCUUGAUGAUACUUGGUCACUUCACUGAGUUUUAGAAGCUGCUGCACAGAAAAGCUGAAGCAUUCCUUUCAAAUGACUACUAUGAGUCACACCUUGCAUGGAUGGACUUGGCUUCAUUUGAAGCUUUCAUCGAGAUGAUAAAGCCACAGCUGAUCUGAAACUCUUUUGGUGACAAUCUAAAGUUAUUGGAAAACAAUCUCCCGCUUGACAGUGUAUACAAAUCAAAAGAUGUGCUGUUACUCCUAUUCGUGUCUUUCAGUGACAAGAACUGGUCGUUGGUCGGAUUUCACUGAGAAUAAACAAAGAUUUGAGAGCAGAAGUUCAAACUGAAGAUUAGCAGCUGCGUAAGAGCCAUGGGAGUCUUCAGAACACACGUGGAAAAGGUUACCAUCUCACUCUAUCAUUCUUGAGUAAAAAUAAUUUCUUGAAUGGAAAAGGAGAAGAAGCUGUCAUCGUUGGUAAUGUUUAGGUAGAUUUGGCCGUAUGUUUCAUUUAUUUUUUACUACAAGACAGAUCAAUAUAUAUUCAUGACUUAAUUAAGAUGAACUUGAGUACUGCGAA